rnacentral:rRNA from 1 species
UGUAACUGACGCUAAAGCUCGAAAGUGCGGGUAUCGAACAGGAUUAGAUACCCUGGUAGUCCGCACGGUAAACGAUGGAUGCCCGCUGUUUGCGAUAUAUUGUAAGCGGCCAAGCGAAAGCGUUAAGCAUCCCACCUGGGGAGUACGCCGGCAACGGUGAAACUCAAAGGAAUUGACGGGGGCCCGCACAAGCGGAGGAACAUGUGGUUUAAUUCGAUGAUACGCGAGGAACCUUACCCGGGCUUGAACUGCAGGAGAACGAUUCAGAGAUGAAGAGGCCCUUCGGGGCUCCUGUGGAGGUGCUGCAUGGUUGUCGUCAGCUCGUGCCGUGAGGUGUCGGCUUAAGUGCCAUAACGAGCGCAACCCUUGCUGUUAGUUGCCAUCAGGUAAUGCUGGGCACUCUGACAGGACUGCCACCGUAAGGUGUGAGGAAGGUGGGGAUGACGUCAAAUCAGCACGGCCCUUACGUCCGGGGCUACACACGUGUUACAAUGGGUGGUACAGAGAGUCGGGUGCACGCAAGUUCGCCCUAAUCAAUAAAGCCAUCCUCAGUUCGGAUUGGGGUCUGCAACCCGACCCCAUGAAGCUGGAUCGCUAGUAA